GACGUAGGGCGCGAGCGUUGUCCGGAUUUAUUGGGCGUAAAGAGCUCGUAGGCGGCUUGUCGCGUCGGCUGUGAAAUCCCGUGGCUCAACUGCGGGUCUGCAGCCGAUACGGGCUAGCUAGAGUUCGGUAGGGGAGACUGGAAUUCCUGGUGUAGCGGUGAAAUGCGCAGAUAUCAGGAGGAACACCGGUGGCGAAGGCGGGUCUCUGGGCCGUAACUGACGCUGAGGAGCGAAAGCAUGGGGAGCGAACAGG
rnacentral:rRNA from 1 species